rnacentral:rRNA from 1 species
UAGGGAAUUUUCGUCAAUGGGCGCAAGCCUGAACGAGCAAUGCCGCGUGAACGAGGAAGGUCUUCGGAUCGUAAAGUUCUGUUGAGAGGGAAAAAGGGUCACCAGAGGAAAUGCUGGUGAAGUGAUAUUACCUUUCGAGGAA